rnacentral:rRNA from 1 species
UACGUAGGGGGCGAGCGUUGUCCGGAAUCAUUGGGCGUAAAGAGCGUGUAGGCGGUCCGGUAAGUCCGUUGUGAAAGUCAGGGGCUCAACCCUUGAAUGCCGGCGGAUACUGUCGGGCUAGAGUCCGGAAGAGGAGAGUGGAAUUCCUGGUGUAGCGGUGAAAUGCGCAGAUAUCAGGAGGAACACCGAUGGCGAAGGCAGCUCACUGGGACGGUACUGACGCUGAGGCGCGAAAGCGUGGGGAGCAAACAGG